rnacentral:rRNA from 1 species
GACGAACGCUGGCGGCGUGCUUAAUACAUGCAAGUCGAACGGAAAGGCCCUGCUUUUGUGGCGUGCUCGAUUGCCGAACGCGUGAGAAAAACGUGAGUAACCUGCCCCUGACUUUGGGGUAACUUCUGGGAACUCCGGAUAUUACCCGAUAGAAGAUCCUGCAGCGCGGUGUUGGUUGGUAAGUUUCGGCGGUUGGGGCUGGACUAGCGGGUUAUCCGCUUGUUGGUCGGGUAGUUGCUGACCAAGCGUUUGACGGGUAGCCGGCCUGAGAGGUUGAACGGCCACAAUGGGACUGAGAUACGGCGCAGACGCCUACGGGAGGCAGCAGGGGGGAACAUUGCACAGUGGGCGGAAGCCUGAUGCAGCAACGCCGCGUGCGGGAUGACGGCCUUCGGGGUGUAAACCGCUUUCUCCUGUGACGAAGCGUGAUUGACGGUAAUGGGUAAGGAAGCACCGGCUAACUACGUG